CCUACGGGUGGCAGCAGUGAGGAAUAUUGGUCAAUGGCCGGAAGGCUGAACCAGCCAUGCCGCGUGAAGGGCAGGGGCCUAGGGGCGUUAAACUUCUUUUGUGCGGGAGCAAGAAUGGGCACGUGUGGCCAGACGAGAGGACCGUACGAAUAAGCAGCGGCGAACUCCGGGCCAGCAGCCGCGGUAAUACGGGGGAUGCAAGCGUUAUCCGGAUUUAUGGGGUUUCACGGGUGCGUAGGCUGGGAGGUAAGGCAGCGGUGAAAUGCCCCCGCUCAACGGGGUGAAGUGCCAUUGAUACUGCCUUGCUGGACUGCGGAUGCCGUUGGCGGCAUGUGUGGUGUAGCGGUG
rnacentral:rRNA from 1 species